CUUGGUCAUUUAGAGGAAGUAAAAGUCGUAACAAGGUUUCCGUAGGUGAACCUGCGGAAGGAUCAUUACAGAGUUCAUGCCCUCACGGGUAGAUCUCCCACCCUUGAAUACUAUACCUUCGUUGCUUUGGCAGGCCGUGGAAACACCACGGGCCUCGGCUAGUGCGUGCCUGCCAGAGGAAACAAACUCUGUUUUUAGUGAUGUCUGAGUACUAUAUAAUAGUUAAAACUUUCAACAACGGAUCUCUUGGUUCUGGCAUCGAUGAAGAACGCAGCGAAAUGCGAUAAGUAAUGUGAAUUGCAGAAUUCAGUGAAUCAUCGAAUCUUUGAACGCACAUUGCGCCCCGUGGUAUUCCGCGGGGCAUGCCUGUUCGAGCGUCAUUAUGACCACUCAAGCCUAGCUUGGUAUUGGGGUUCGCGGUCUCGCGGCUCUUAAAAUCAGUGGCGGUGCCAUCUGGCUCUAAGCGUAGUAAUUCUCUCGCUAUAGGGCUCCGGUAGUUGCUUGCCAAAACCCCCCUAUUUCUCACGGUUGACCUCGGAUCAGGUAGGGAUACCCGCUGAACUUAAGCAUAUCAAUAAGCGGAGGA
rnacentral:rRNA from 1 species